GACGAACGCUGGCGGCGUGCUUAACACAUGCAAGUCGAGCGGUAAGGCCCUUUCGGGGGUACACGAGCGGCGAACGGGUGAGUAACACGUGGGUGACCUGCCCUCAGCUCUGGGAUAAGCCUGGGAAACCGGGUCUAAUACCGGAUAUGACUCCAUGACGCAUGUUGUGGGGUGGAAAGCCUUGUGCGGCUGAGGAUGGGCCCGCGGCCUAUCAGCUUGUUGGUGGGGUGANGGCCUACCAAGGCGACGACGGGUAGCCGGCCUGAGAGGGCGACCGGCCACACUGGGACUGAGACACGGCCCAGACUCCUACGGGAGGCAGCAGUGGGGAAUCUUGCGCAAUGGGCGAAAGCCUGACGCAGCGACGCCGCGUGAGGGAUGACGGCCUCGGUGUAAC
rnacentral:rRNA from 1 species